GACGAGCUCUCCAAACGUUAUUCGGUAUCACUGGGCUUAAAGAGUUCGUAGGCGGCUCCGUAGGUGAGGUGUGAAAGCCCUCGGCUCAACCGAGGAACUGCGCUUCAAACCGUGGGGCUUGAGGAAGACAGGGGUAAGCGGAACAGAUGGUGAAGCGGUGAAAUGCAUAGAUACGAUCCAGAACACCGAUUGCGUAGGCAGCUUACUAGGCUGUAACUGACGCUGAGGCACGAAAGCGUGGGGAGCAAACAGG
rnacentral:rRNA from 1 species